GAUGAACGCUAGCGGCAGGCUUAACACAUGCAAGUCGAGGGGCAGCACGAUGUAGCAAUACAUUGGUGGCGACCGGCGCACGGGUGCGUAACACGUAUGGAAUCUGCCCUUUACUGGAGGAUAGCCCGGAGAAAUCCGGAUUAAUACUCCAUAACUGUCGAGGUGGCAUCACCUUGAUCUGAAAGCUCCGGCGGUAAAGGAUGACCAUGCGCACGAUUAGCUAGUUGGUGAGGUAAUGGCUCACCAAGGCUACGAUC
rnacentral:rRNA from 1 species